UACGGAGGGUGCGAGCGUUAAUCGGAAUUACUGGGCGUAAAGCGCACGCAGGCGGNUUNUUAAGNNAGAUGUGAAAGCCCCGGGCUCAACCUGGGAUGGUCAUUUAGAACUGGCNGACUAGAGUNUUGGAGAGGGGAGUGGAAUUCCAGGUGUAGCNGCGAAAUGCGUAGAUAUCUGGAGGAACAUCAGNGGCGAAGGCGACUCCCUGGCCAAAGACUGACGCUCAUGUGCGAAAGUGUGGGUAGCGAACAGG
rnacentral:rRNA from 1 species